CAAUACAAUACUCCAUAACAUCCACCAGAGGGAGUCACUCUGUUAAACUGCAAUAAUAUGUGAUGACACAGUAGAUUAUCUUCACUCAUGAGACACAGUUGUGAACUUCAGAAAUGAAAGCUAUUUGGACAUUUGAGUCUCCUCCUACUGACUGCAGAGCUGGCUUCAUGACAGAACUGUUUGAUUCCAGCAGUGAGCAUCAGACCAAACACAACUCACAAACCUUAUUCAUACCGAACAUUCAAUUACAGCAUUUCAUCUCUGCAAACAUGGAAAAACUCGCUGCCAUUCUGCUCUUUUCAACUCUCGUAGGUAACACCUUGGAAGAUGAUAUUACUGCCAGCAGAACUGAAGAGUUUUCAUCAGAGGGCCAGACUGUUAAUCUGUCCUGUCAAUAUUCAGUUAAAGCCAAUAAUCUCCAGUGGUAUAGACAAGAUCCUGGAUCAGCUCCUCAGUUCCUUCUCCUGAUCACUGAUACAAAACAGCCUUCAGUGGUGGAAGCAAAACCUCCACACCCUCGACUGACUGCUGAACUGAAUGAGGAGAGAAAUCGAGUCGAUCUGCAGAUCUCCUCUGCUGCAGUGACAGACUCUGCUGUGUACUACUGUGCUCUGCAGCCCACAGUGACAGGAAACACCAGAACUCUGUACACAAACCUUUGGAGCAAAGACAACACAAUACUCCACAUCAUCCACCAGAGGGAGUCACUCUGUUAAACUAUGAUACCAUUUAAACAAUGCAUUGAAUAUAUUUAGGAAACAUAUUAAAAAUAUGGAAGCUUCUGUGUUGGAAAAGACAGCAUGUAAAUAUAAAAUGAGAGGACCUAGGAUUGAACCCUGUGGUACACCACAAGAAAUCACAAGCUGACAGAACAGAGAAACUUAUUUUCUAAUGAAAAGAAGAAAAGCAUUAAACAUCUGAGCCUGUAAUACCAACAUGUUUAUGGAGAUACUUGAUUCAAAUUGUGAGAUUGGUCAAUAGUGUAGUUAAAUAUAACGGUAAAUAUAGUGACACAAUGUGACUAUAUGUAAUAAUGCCUCAUCAUAACUGAAUGUAACAGCCAGUCCUCCUCAAAUUCAACUCUGUAGGUCAAUUGUUUUUGUGAUGAACUCUCAAACAUGUUCAUAACUGCCUAAAUGUUAAACUAUUUUUGACAAUAUGAUCAUUAAGUAUGAAUAAAUUAUGUAUUAUCCCAAAAAAGAACGUAGCAUUAAUGGACUAGGAAACAACAUAAUUUUAUUUUGCAAGCCUGUUUACAGAAUGACAAUAAAUGAUCCUUGAAUGAUAACUGAGUGUAACAUCAAAUACUUUCACAUCUUAUAGACCUAAGAUUAAACUUUGAUGGUGAA